CACAAUAACAUAUGAAGGCUGCUCGCGGCUGGAGUAUUUAUUACCCUUGUCUUUUGCGCACUUGUUGUUUCCUGGGCGGGCUCGCCCGCCACCAGGACCACAUACAAACCUUUUUUAUGUAGUUGCAAUCAGCGUCAGUACAACAAAUGUAAAUCAUUUA
rnacentral:misc_RNA from 1 species